GACGAACGCUGGCGGCGUGCCUAAUACAUGCAAGUUGAGCGCUGAAGGUUGGUACUUGUACCAACUGGAUGAGCAGCGAACGGGUGAGUAACGCGUGGGGAAUCUGCCUUUGAGCGGGGGACAACAUUUGGAAACGAAUGCUAAUACCGCAUAAAAACUUUAAACACAAGUUUUAAGUUUGAAAGAUGCAAUUGCAUCACUCAAAGAUGAUCCCGCGUUGUAUUAGCUAGUUGGUGAGGUAAAGGCUCACCAAGGCGAUGAUACAUAGCCGACCUGAGAGGGUGGUCGGCCACAUUGGGACUGAGCCACGGCCCAAACUCCUACGGGAGGCAGCAGUAGGGAAUCUUCGGCAAUGGACGAAAGUCUGACCGCGCAACGCCGCGUGAGUGCAGAAGGUUGUCGGAUCGUAAAACUCUGUUGGUAGAGAAGAACGUUGGUGAGAGUGGAAAGCUCAUCAAGUGACGGUAACUACCCAGAAAGGGACGGCUAACUACGUG
rnacentral:rRNA from 1 species